rnacentral:rRNA from 1 species
AGAAUGAACGCUGGCGGCGUGCUUAACACAUGCAAGUCGAGCGAGGCCAGGGGGGCAACUCCCUGAGUCGAGCGGCGGACGGGUGAGUAACACGUGGGUAACCUACCCGGAAGUGGGGUAUACCUCGGGGAAACUCGAGCUAAUACCGCAUAACAUCUCGAGGACGAAAGUUCUUGUGAUCAAAGCGGGGCCGCAAGGCCUCGUGCUACCGGAUGGGCCCGCGCCCGAUUAGCUAGUUGGCGAGGUAAUGGCUCACCAAGGCGACGAUCGGUAACCGGCCUGAGAGGGCGAUCGGUCACACCGGAACUGAGACACGGUCCGGACUCCUACGGGAGGCAGCAGUGGGGGAAUCUUGCGCAAUGGGCGAAAGCCUGACGCAGCAACGCGCGUGGAGGAUGAAGGCCCUGGGUUGUAAACUCCUGUCGGCUGGGAAGAACGUCGUUCGCGACUAAUACUCGCGGACGUUGACUGUACCAGCAAAGGAAGCCCCGGCUAACUCUAGUGCUAGCAAGCCGACGUUAACG